rnacentral:rRNA from 1 species
CCUACGGGGGGCAGUAGUGGGGAAUAUUGGACAAUGGGCGAAAGCCUGAUCCAGCCAUGCCGCGUGUGUGAAGAAGGCCUUCGGGUUGUAAAGCACUUUCAGUGGGGAAGAAAGCCUUGGGGCUAAUACCCUCGAGGAAGGACAUCACCCACAGAAGAAGCACCGGCUAACUCCGUGCCAGCAGCCGCGGUAAUACGGAGGGUGCGAGCGUUAAUCGGAAUUACUGGGCGUAAAGCGCGCGUAGGCGGUCUGAUAAGCCGGUUGUGAAAGCCCCGGGCUCAACCUGGGAACGGCAUCCGGAACUGUCAGGCUAGAGUGCAGGAGAGGAAGGUAGAAUUCCCGGUGUAGCGGUGAAAUGCGUAGAGAUCGGGAGGAAUACCAGUGGCGAAGGCGGCCUUCUGGACUGACACUGACGCUGAGGUGCGAAAGCGUGGGUAGCAAACAGGAUUAGAUACCCUAGUAGUC